GACCUCAGGCUAUCUGCCCGCCUUGGCCUCCCAAAGCUCUGGGAUUACAGGUGUGAGCCACCACGCCCUGCCAAUUUCAGCUUUUUGAAUGUGCUUCUUCCUUUAAGUGUGGAAUGCUGUCAUACACAUUCGACUUUAUUGCUUCAGAGGAUUGGAUAGCACCCAUUUCAUGAUGGGUAACUCAGGUCCCGUGGGCAGUUAGUGUCUCAUGGUUAGGCAUUUAGUCUCUGCCACGGCCCUGUAGCAAGCCAGGAACAGCUUCUCAGAAGAAGAAUAAAUGUUAACAAAGAGGGCUGCUGGAGGUCCGCACUGUGAUUCUCUUCCUGGGGCUUCCAGAGGUCCCAUACAGCCUCUUGACUGACCACAGACACUUAAGGCAAGGUUGGCUGGCUUUACUGAGUCAAAGGCCCCAGUGGCAGGGCUGCUUGUUCCUUGCCACUUCUUUUCUGGGCCUCUUUCCCAGCUCAUUGCCUUACAGUUCCUUGGUAAAGGGGUCAGAGCAGCAUGCCCGUUGUGAUAUGAGCUGCCUGCAAAACCCAGAGAGGCUCAGGGCUAGCCCAUGCGGAGAAUUAGAGCAACUGAGAAAUGCAUCCUCAAUUGCUUCCUGCCCCACAGGUCCAGGGUAUGCACCUAGCUUGAGCUACAAUGAUUUCUGCUAAAGUUUCUUUUGGGAGCUGUGGAACGCUAAUCACUGCCUCAGAGGGAGAACUGGCUGGCAGCCCUCUGCUGGGUAUUUUCCUGAUGCCUCGUUCUCCUGCAUCAAUCAAUUAUUCACAUUUGUUUUCUCCAGCUAGUUAAUUAAACACAGAUACUGUGUCUGUGUGUUUCAGUGCCUGAGUUGUCACAGCACCUAAUUUGCAAGAAAACAUAGUUAGGCUGGAUUCCCUUUUCCCAGCUCUCUGUAUGUGGCGGGUGACUCUGUAACUGGGUUGCAUCUCUCCAAGCAUCGGCAGUAACCGAAUGUGUAGAUGAGGACCCUGCAGUCAACCUUCCUGGUGUUCCGGGAGUCUUUGCCUACAGUGUUCCAGAAGAUCCUGGAGGAGACACAGAAAAUCCGGUUUGUGGGGAAAGAAUGCGUUCCGUUGUCGAGGAACUUCAGUUGCUAGAAAGCUGCUUCUCAGUUUGAACUUUGCAGAGUCACGCAUGCCAGUCAGCACUCAAGUGCCAGUCUAUUCCCUCUUAGGUAUUUUGAUUUCAAUUAGGAGACCUUGUUUAUUGUGUUAAGGUGUCAAGCGUUUAGCUUCCCAAAGACAUGUUUAGUUGUAAGGAAAAGAUCUUUCUUUAAAAUAUCGAGUUCUCUAUUAAAAACAAAUGAAAAACACAGAACAAAAAAAAACAAAACAAAAAAUAUCAAAUAAAACCCAACCAUUAUAUCCUCGAAUAAAAUGCGUCUUUCAAUUCACCCUAAAUUUUCAAUAUUAGGUUUAAAUCUUUUUGGAUUAUGGGCAUGGCUUUGGGGAUUCCAGUCAUUUUUUUUUAUUUACAGGUGAGAAACUUUUGGUCCAGGAAGGAACUACACGGGUCACCUGCCUUUGCCAGAAUGAAGAAACCCUCACUUCUGACUGGUUCAGUAAGUUUUCUUUCCACUUGACUUUCUCUUUCUCAUGACUACCUUUAUUCAUUUUUGAUAAAAAUUUACUCUAAACUUAAUCUUUUCCAAAGUUAUUUAUUUGAGUUUGUCCACUAGAGUCCUCAUAAGAACCAGCCUUAUAAUUUGGUAAUAAAGCCUCAGUUUACUGUGGACACCACUGUUUUCUCAAAGGGCUAGGACUCCUUGCAGAACGGCAUGUGGACAGCAUAUUCAGAAAAGACCUAAUAAAGGCAUUGAGGGUCACUCAAUAGUAAGCACUGGCCAUGUAUGUACCAAACACUGGGUGAGCAAGUGGAUUUCACAUCCAUACAGAGUUGUGUUGAAUAGUUUUUGAAUGUAUGUGGAGGCAUAUAUAAUAUAUUGCAAGUAAAUGAAAAACAAAAAGAGAUAUUUAAGAAGUAGUUUUACCAGUGGGUCAAGUAUCUCAGGCCACAGAACUGUCCAUUAGUCCUGAAGAUUUCAUCACUCCUGAAGACAACACAGCCACUAUCUGGGAACAUCAUUAGCCUCAAAGAGGUCUCCUCCUGCCUUUUGGAGUUUUAUGAAUGUUCAUCCUUCUGCAUGGUGACUUUGAGAGCUUGGCCAGGGACCUGUGCUCUUUUGUCGGUGUGCAUGAACUUGAUGUGUCCUUAACAGAUAUGUAUAUGUAACAUUGCCUGUUGAGUACCUCCUCACAGCCAGGAACUUGUGAUCAAUUACAUCUCAUUUUCCUAAACCCCUGUGAGCAAUAGUAUGCCUGUUUUUCAGAUGAAGAAACUGAGGCAGCGCAGAGGUUCAGUAACUUGCCGAGGUCAUAUAAUAAGUGGCAGAACUGGACUCAACCCUGGGUUGGCUUAAUUCUCUUUGUUCUUCUCCUUCCUUCUAUCAUGCCCCAGAAUGAUCAACUUAAAGAACCCUAGGGUUGUCUGUUGUAGAGAUCAACUCUUUAAUAAUUAGCAGCUGCAUUUCUCCUGGGAUGCUCUGGUGGAAAUGAGCAUCCCAUGGAAACUGCACAGCACACUCCCUUCUGGUCCACUGGUCUACAUGGGAGAGGUGGAGGUCAGGGCAUUGCCUCCUGUGGAUAGAGAUCCCCAGGGCUGACAUUGGGACAGUUCUACUGGGGUUGGAUAUGUGCUUCAUCAUGACUGCAGUCAAAUAGCUACAAGAUGUUUAUAGCCACCCAAAGGUCAAUAACAUCAGUUAAGUGCCUGGUCUAACUGCUUUCCAGAGGGUCAGGGUUUGGGGGGUUGGGGUGGGGUGGCUGGUGGGAGUAGGAGUGGAUCAUGUUAUUUCCUGCAGAACCCACAGCUCUCUCUUGCUCCCUGCUGUCUUCGCUGAGUGACAUUUGCACCAGCUGCUCCCAAAGGGAGUAGCUUUGGUGAAAUGUCACUGGCUUCAGCGGGGAUGGCCCUUCUCUGUCCUUCAUUUCUUCCCCUACUCCUCCUUUCCACCCCUCGAGUGACUUUUUUAUUUUGAAAGGACACUGCCUGGAAAUUCAAGUGCAGGAAAAAGUAAUUACAUUUUCUCUUCAGGUGUGCCUCUCAAAAAGCCUUCAAAUCAUCUCUGGCCAAAACACUGGGAUUAUUCCAAAGGGAAACAGGUAUUAGCAGCAGCUUUGGCGGCUUCGCUCUUUGGGUCUCACUGCUGCUUUUCUCCAUGCUAAGGACCAUGAUGACAGAGUGGUUGACCGCUUUGCCUCCCUUCCUUCUGCCACCCUCUCCCAGCAGAGGUUAAAGGUCUCAUUCAAUGUCACACAAAUAGUAAGUGAUGGGGCUCACCUGGCUUUGCAGCUGGGUCUGUUCAACUCCGCAGCUACUCUUUUAAUAACUUUGCUAUGCAAUUGCAGUGACUAUAUUUGCAGAACCAAAAAUUGAGAGGCAUGAUCUGACGAAUAUUUUCUAUUCCUGAUUUAUUGCUUUUUUCAAAUUUUUAAUAUGAAAAACCACGCAAAGGUACAAAAAUGAAAUCACUUUGUUAUGCACACAUCUAAAUAACAUAAUCAUUAUUGGAAAGAAGAAAUUACAUAAGACUGAAAUUGACCCAAUCUUAUACUGGGAAAUCCAGCUCAUAGAGUUGCUAUUUGGUGAGAAUUGCACUUGACCAGGAGCUAAGAGGCCUAGAUUCAGGUCCAGGUUUGACCUUUAACUAGUUGCAUUUUCUUGAUUAAUUUACUUCCCCCCUUUGGGCCUUAUUUUCUCAGUUGGUGAAGUGAGAGAGAGUUGGCUCAGAUGAUGCCUCAGGGCCUUCCUAGCGCUGAUAUUCAAUGGCCUUGUAAUUCUAGGUAUAGAUUUCAUCAGUUGGGCUGUCAGAGACACACAGAUGAGAUCCUUCCUUUGGAAAUGAGUUUUGUUCCUCUCCUGCUUUAGAUUAAUCCUGACAGCAUCUGAAUCCAGUCGUUUGUUGUCUGGAACCCUCUCAUGUUCCCUGGGAGUCUACUAUUUUUUAUAGGCUCAACCCUGGGAACAUGUUUUUCUGAUUUUUCCAGGAAAAUGAUCUGUUUGGACUCACCUCAUUGCUUGCCCCUUUCCCUUUCUUCAACCUAGACUCCCGCCUUCUUCUGUCUACCCUUCCCUGUACAUCCCAGCCCCUCCCUUCCUGCUGCUCCUAAUUGAUGCCUCCCCAGUAUCUCCUGCUGUCUUUUACAUUUCAGUCAUUCUCUGCACAUAAAUCGAGGUUCAGCAUUGCCUGUAUGGAAAGGGACAAGAAAACAAGGCCAGUCAUGCUUGGUUCGACUGUUGCUGCACAGCCAUCUCUCUUCUCUUCCCAUCUUUUCCUUUUCUCCAUGCUUCCUCCACUGCAUUUGUGUUUUUCUGCACUUUCCACAUGUCUGAGACUGUGCUAUUGAAGAUAACCAGAGAGUCUCUUCUUGAAGCCCAAUAGCAAUUUCUCCUGACUUUCCUUGACCUUUCUGCAGCAUCUGGCACUGGCACCUCUACCUUUUGAAACACUCUUAUUUGGCUUCAAUUCUCACUGCACUGUCCGACUCUGUCUCCUUCAUUUUGUACUCAUCCUUUAUAAGUGGACAUGUCUGGAGGUCCUGACUCUGACUCAUUUUCUACCCUUUCUCAGAGAUUUCACCUAUUUUUGUUGCUUCUACUAAAUCUCUUUGAGGUUUGACAUCAAGUUUCUAUCAGCCCCAUGCACAUCUUCACUUGGGUGUUCCAUUGUCACCUUACUCAACAUGUUUGCAAUGAAACUUACCAUCCUCCAUCAAAACCCGCUUCUCCUCCAGAUUUCUCAUUGCUGUCGAUUUCUGUCAGUUAAGUGGGUUUGAAAUCUAGUCAACGUCCCUCAAUCCACUUUCUUCCUUACCCACUUCUCCAACCAGUCACUGCAACUGAUCUAUUUGUUAUCUGAUCUAUUUGUUAUCUAUAUGUCUCUUACAUACAUCUUCCUACGUCCCUCCUAUUUCCACUGCUACCUUCCCAGUCCUGAUUCACAUGAAGAAUCUCUUCACUAGUCUUUAAUUUACUGAUUCUCCAACCCAUCCUGUUUUCCUGUAUGCCAAUAACCUGCCUAAAAUAUCACUUUGCAUAUUUCUCUGUAUCCUUCUGCUUCCUGUAUUCUCGAUCACUAAACAAACUUUCAGAAGUUCCCAGAAUAACACCCUAAAGUCUCAGGCUGACAUUGAAAGGCAUCCAAAAUGUGGCCCUAUUCUAUUCUUACUUCACAUUAGUUUCCACAUAAAUACAAUUUCCUGUAGAUAAAAACAUAUACUUUGUCUGCCGCUUUGUUUAUCCAGAACUUGCUCCUCUUCAGUCCCAUGUGCUUGGGCAAGAAAAUGGGCCUCCGUGAGUCUGAUUCUGCAACUAUAAAAUGGCCAUGAUCCCUUCUCUGAUUUCCUUUGGGGGGUUGUGAGGAUGAAAUUUACUUAUUCAAGAAGCAUUUCCUGAAGAGGUCCUGGGGACUGGCAAAGAUAAGUAAGUUACCGUCUCUCCCCUUUAGGUUGCUCAGGUAAUUUGAGGAAGCACACACUUAAAAAACCCACAUUGUCAGUAGGAUGGGGUGAGCAAGAGUUCACUGGCACGCACACUGUGCCCCAGCUUGGCCCCACCCCACCAACCUGAGACCUGCUCAGCUCCUUUCUAAGCCACCCUCCAUCAAGGACUACCUGUCCUCCUCCCUUUCCUCAGGGCCCAGCUCUCCCUAAUGUGAAAAUGAGUGAUAAUGGAUGCUAAUUUAAUGUGUUACUUCUUCCAGGUGACAUAUUUACAUUUUAAUAGCAGAAAAUUCAAAGGAGGAUAUUUUAAGCGCUGUGGCAGGUGGGUGGGGACAUAUUUUGAGUUAGGGAGGAUUUGGGGGACCUUAAAUCACACUGGAUAGGCACCUACUGAUUCUAACUCCUAGGAUUGGCUGCUCUCCAGAGUCCAGAGAUGAGGAUCGCCUCCCUGGGCUGUGCCCCCUCCCUAUCUGAUGGGAGUACUUCAGAGUGUCGGACUCCCGGGGCAAUGAUGGAUGAGACAUCUGCUCCAUGAUGGGCUAUUACCAACAAUUCAUUACUGCAAAAUGGACUUACCCUCAUUAGCCCAGGAGCUCUGAGUUUAAUGUGGCAUUCUGCAAUCUCACAGAUUCUGCUGCACACAUUGAAGGCGUGCAUCACAUUUUACAGAGCCAGGAAACCUGAACUUCAGAAAACAAUGGAGAUUUAGCAUGCCUCUUGAAUUAGUUGACAUAUUUACUCUUCAUGAAUAAGCCUGUUUUGUAGACAAACACUGUAGCUCACUGUUUCAUUAUUAGAAAUUAAUUCACUCCACUGCUCUGCCCAAGGGCACAGUUCUCCUUGGGGAGCAGUUUUGCCCUUAUCAUGCUAGUGCUUGCAGUAGGUGACUAGGUUUCUGAAGUUCUGACCUGGGAAUGUUUCUCGAGGGGCAGUUCUGGGAAAUGGGCUGGGUCUGUAGAUCUCUGCAGGCGCUUCAUCAUGAGUCACUUGUGUGAAAUUUGCACCUUCUGCAUAGGAGUAUUUGGGAAGAUUUCUUUUUCCCUCUGUAAUGUGUCCCAGCAAAACCAUCAUCAUAUAUCCACAUUUUGGGGAGGAGCGAAUUAUCCAGAACCAGUAUUCAGUUCAAAUAAUGUGUGACAGACACAGUGUCAAUUUCCUAAACUUCUGAUAUUGUAGGUACUGCUGUUGAUGCAUGAACUCCCUGUCUGGGUUUAGCUUAUCCUUGGGAAAUUACCCAGCCAUUUGUCACAUCCUCACAAAUGACAGUUCUUCUAGGCUUCUAUUCCUUCAAUAGCUCAGGGAUCUCUGAGGUCUCUUCUAGAUAGAAGAUUCUAUGUUGCCAUCUCCCAAAUCAGCAACUGGGGGAUUUUUUGAAAACCCAGACCCCAAAUUGCAGAUGUCCCACCUCAUUGCUGGUGGUAAUGGUUGAUGAGGGAGAUAACAUUUUUGGGGCCAAAGCACAGUCAGUUACUUUCUUUUUUCCCUUAGGAGUUAAGCUUGGUAAUUCAUUUCUGUCUGUUAAGUCUCACAGAUACAUGCAGUAACCUGUCUUCAGGCUUCAAAGUGCUUAUUCAUUUUUAGCCAUUUAUUCCUUUCACAAAUAUUUAUUGAAUGCUCAUUAAGUGUAAAGCACUCUGUUAGGUACUGGGGUUGUACUGGACAUGGAGUUUCCCUAAACAGCAAGAGACUGUUUAGCUCCAGCACAGACACAAUCCAAUUAGAUUUAUCAAGUACUUGUGUAUCUGUAGUGGAUCAGGGCCUGGGGUACAGGAAACCCAGACACUCCCUGAAAGGCACACAUGCCAGGUAUACACGCUCUUCUCUGAGGUCAGAUUAAGAUGCAAGCUUUUGUGCGUAGUAUUCUUUCUUCUCUCACGCAGCCUGCUUCCUUCCCGCUCAGUGAAGGGGACUCCCAGCCCAUCUUUCCAGACCACAUUUCCAUUAGGAUGCUUAUCCUAGAUUUUUGAUGAUUUCCCACCAGGAUUACAUGGAAAUACUGGGAAAAUGUCUUUACUUUUCAGCAGAAAUUUUUAUCAGCUGUCUCACCAGCUUAAGUGUCCUUUCUCAACACCAACUUUCUAUGCAUUUUUGUAUUUCCAUCCUUAUCCUGAUAGAAAAAUCAAGGAUCCUGUAUAAUUUCCACUUAGAACAGGCUGUGUGACUUGGGGCAAGUUUUUACCUGUUCUCCCUUUCCUCAGAGAAAGGGAGGAUCCUGUAUAAUUUCCAAGGAUCCUCCUGUAUAAUUUUCAUGGACAUUUGGUUUGUUUCUACUUUUUGACUAUUAUGAAUAAGACUGCUAUGAACAGCCAUAUAGAAAUCUAGGUUUUCAUUUCUCUUGGGAAGAGUAGAAUUGUUGGGUCAUAGGGUGAUUCUAUGUUACCAUUUGGUGGACAUGCCAGAUUGUUUUCUAAAGCAACUGCACCAUUUCACAUUUCUACCGGCAAUCGGUCAUUAAUUCUCCAUCAAGGCAGGGACCAGCCACUCUCCCUGAAGAGUAUAAGGAAAAGAAGCUACAGUUCCCACUCCCGUUGCUGGUUUUAGGCCAUAACGAAUCUUCAUUGCCCAACCACCUCCAUUACUGAUUCUAGAUUUCUCUCACCUCCAGCUCGAUUGCUUGCGCAGUGGGUUGCUGAGUGUGCUUUUCAACUUUAAAGUGCAUCGAAUCAGCCGGGAAUCGUGUUAAAAUGCAGAAUCUGAUUCAGUGGUCUGGGGAGGGACCUGGACUUCUGCAUUUCUAGAAGCUCUCAGGUGAUGUUGAUGCUGCUUGUCCGUGGGCACAUUUGGGUAGCAAAGAACUAGGCUAUAUUUAUCUUUGCUUGCCAUUCCCUUGCUAAACCAUGGUUGCUGCAAUUGCCCCUUUAUAGUUUUUGCUGGGUUUCAAGCACCUAGAAAAGCCCCCACUGAAACCCCCAGGUUCUAGAAAGAAUCUUUCCUCCUCCAAUUGUGCAGCCACAACCACAGCUUCUUCUGGUAAUCAGGGUUAUUAAUCCCACCAGUACAAUCCCUGUGUUGUCCACUGGCAUGAGGUGUGCCAAGUGACUAAGUGGUAGUCAGCUUCAAGUUCAGUGGAACCUUCCUGGCCGAAGGGUUUCUUCCCUGACAACCAGACCUCUUAUCCAGCAGGGUCCAGACUAUAGACUGCACAAACUCUAUGAGUGAGUGGGAAGGAGGGUGAGAGAGGCAAGUCCUACAUCCACUCCUUGGUUCCCCGACUGUGUAUCCCUGCUGUUUUGGACACAGCACCAUAUACUAUGCCAACAUCACUGCUCAGUGCACAUACCACAUCACCGAUGAUUGUGUCCUAACCCUUUGGUGUGUUGUUACAGGGCAGGUGCCUUUGCUCAUUCUGCCAUUCCUUCAGUAUGCUGCUUUUGGAUGAUGGGGGCCAUAGUAAGACUGGUGAAUUCCAUGAUCACAUAUGCAUUGUGUCUCCUUUGCAGAAGUAAAGUGGCCCUAGGAGCCGGCAUGGUGACUGGGUGGCUGCUGGAUGGAGCUGGUUACCGUAGAACUGCUGCCUGGUCACAGCAGUGCAGCGCUGAUCCCUGGUGACAAUAGAGGUGGAACAGUGGUAAAGGGCCCAAGACAGAUGAGGCUGAGGGGAUCUGAGAAGAUCCAUAAGAAGAGUGUCAUACAGAGGGCUUGUGAUCUGGCUUAGAAAGCAAAAUACAAACACAAGGAAGAAGAAACACUGACCUCCACGGGAGUUUCAACAUAGUUCGGGUGGAGGGAGAGAAGGCAUAUGCUUCAGGCCUCAAGGAUCAGCAGACGUGCAGCUCUGAACAUCAGUAGGUGGUUUGUGUGUAUAUGUUUUCUCUUUUUUUCUCUACAGUGUAUUUACACUCAAGAUUGAGAUAAACAUCCAUUUGCUUUAA